UGAACGCUGGCGGUAUGCUUAACACAUGCAAGUCGAACGGUAACAGCAGAGCUUGCUCUGGCUGACGAGUGGCGGACGGGUGCGUAACGCGUAGGAAUCUGCCUAUUAGUGGGGGACAACAUGGGGAAACCCAUGCUAAUACCGCAUACGCCCUACGGGGGAAAGCAGGGGAUCUUCGGACCUUGCGCUAAUAGAUGAGCCUGCGUUAGAUUAGCUAGUUGGUGAGGUAAUGGCUUACCAAGGCGAUGAUGGGUAGCUGGUCUGAGAGGAUGAUCAGUCACAGGGGAACUGAGACACGGUCCCCACUCCUACGGGAGGCAGCAGUAGGGAAUCUUCCGCAAUGGGCGAAAGCCUGACGGAGCGACACCGCGUGACCGAUGACAGCCGUAAGGUUGUAAAGGUCUUUUCUGAGGGAAUAAUUAUGAAGGUACCUUAGGAAUAAGUAACUGCUAACUACGUGCCAGCAGCAGCGGUAAUACGUAGGUUACAAACGUUAUCCGGAAUCAUUGGGCGUAAAGCGACCGCAGGCGGCGAAUUAAGUCGAAUGCUAAAUAUCAUGGCCCAACCAUGGUGCCGCAUUCGAUACUGGUUCACUAGAGACUUACAGAGGCUAGUGGAAUUCUGUGUGUAGGGGUAAAAUCCGUAGAUACACAGAGGAACACCAAAAGCGAAGGCAGCUAGCUGGGUAAGAUCUGACGCUCAUGGACGAAAGCGUGGGUAGCGAACGGGAUUAGAUACCCCGGUAGUCCACGCCGUAAACUUUGGACACUAGGUGUUGGAGGGCCCGAUCUCUCCAGUGCCGAAGCUAACGCAUUAAGUGUCCCGCCUGGGUAGUACGAACGCAAGUUUAAAACUCAAAGGAAUAGACGGGGACCCACACAAGCGGUGGAGCAUCUGGUUUAAUUCGAUAUUGAGCGAGGAACCUCACCUAGGCUUGACAUCCCGAGAAUUUCUUGGAAACAGGAAAGUGCCUUUUGGAACUCGGUGACAGGCGCUGCAUGGUUGUCGUCAGCUCGUGCCUUGAGGUGUUCGGUUAAGUCCGUAAACGAGCGCAACCCUUGUCCUAUGUUGCAUUUUUUCAUAGGAGACUGCCGGUUCUAAAUCGGAGGAAGGUAAGGACGACGUCAAAUCAGCAUGGCCCUUAUGCCUAGGGCUACACAGGUGCUACAAUGGCUGGUACAAUGGGCAGCAAUGGAGCGAUCCGGAGCAAAUCCCUAAAACCAGUCUAAGUUCGGAUUGGAGGCUGCAACUCGCCUCCAUGAAGUUGGAAUCGCUAGUAAACGCGUAUCAGCAAUGUCGCGUUGAAUAUGUUCCUGGGUCUUGCACUCACCGCCCG
rnacentral:rRNA from 1 species